rnacentral:rRNA from 1 species
AACGAACGCUGGCGGCAGGCCUAACACAUGCAAGUCGAACGCUCCGCAAGGGGAGUGGCGCACGGGUGAGUAACACGUGGGAACCUACCUUCUGGUACGGAACAACCAAGGGAAACUUUGGCUAAGACCGUAUACGACCUCCGGGUGAAAGAUUGAUCGCCGGAAGAGGGGCCCGCGUCCGAUUAGGUAGUUGGUGAGGUAACGGCUCACCAAGCCUUCGAUCGGUAGCUGGUCUGAGAGGAUGACCAGCCACACUGGGACUGAGACACGGCCCAGACUCCUACGGGAGGCAGCAGUGGGGAAUAUUGGACAAUGGGCGCAAGCCUGAUCCAGCCAUGCCGCGUGAGUGAUGAAGGCCU